CGCCUCCCGUCCCGCCCGUCCCACGUCCACGUACGUCGUACUCGAGGGGCAGGCAGUGGGGAAUCUUGCACAAUGGACGAAAGUCUGAUGCAGCAACGCCGGCGUGGGGGGAUGUAAGGCUUUUUUGGACGUGUAAACCCCUUUCGACCCGGAGAAAGCCGCAGGGUUGACGGUCGGGUAUAAGAAGCCCGGCUAACUACGUGCCAGCCGCCGCGGUAAUUC
rnacentral:rRNA from 1 species